rnacentral:rRNA from 1 species
GACGAACGCUGGCGGCGUGCUUAACACAUGCAAGUCGAUCGGAAAGGCCCUGCUUUUGUGGGGUGCUCGAGUGGCGAACGGGUGAGUAACACGUGAGUAACCUGCCCUUGACUUUGGGAUAACUUCAGGAAACUGGGGCUAAUACCGGAUAGGAGCUCCUGCUGCAUGGUGGGGGUUGGAAAGUUUCGGCGGUUGGGGAUGGACUCGCGGCUUAUCAGCUUGUUGGUGGGGUAGUGGCUUACCAAGGCUUUGACGGGUAGCCGGUCUGAGAGGGUGACCGGCCACAUUGGGACUGAGAUACGGCCCAGACUCCUACGGGAGGCAGCAGUGGGGAAUAUUGCACAAUGGGCGGAAGCCUGAUGCAGCAACGCCGCGUGCGGGAUGACGGCCUUCGGGUUGUAAACCGCUUUCGCCUGUGACGAAGCGUGAGUGACGGUAAUGGGUAAAGAAGCACCGGCUAACUACGUG